CCUACGGGCGGCAGCAGUGGGGAAUAUUGGGCAAUGGGCGCAAGCCUGACCCAGCCACGCCGCGUGAAGGAAGACGGCUUUCGGGUUGGAAACUUCUUUUCUGAGGGACGAAAAAUGUGACGGUACCUCAGGUAUGAGCCACCGCUAACUAGGUGCCAGCAGCCGCGGUGAUACGUAGGUGGCAAGCGUUAGGCGGAUUUAUUGGUUGUAAAGGUCGGGUAGGCGGGAAAGGAAGUGAGAUGUGAAAGUUCAGGGCUCAACCAUGAGUCUGCAUGUGAAACUGUCUGUCUUGAGUUCUGGUGAGGCAAUCGGAAUUCGGGGUGUAGCGGUGAAAUGCGUAGAUAUAACGAGGAACACCAGUGGCGAAGGCAGAUUGCUAGACAGCAACUGACACUGAGGCGCGAAAGUGUGGGGAGCAAACAGGAUUAGAUACCCCAGUAGUC
rnacentral:rRNA from 1 species